UACAUGUGGGGCAAGCGUUGUUCGGAAUUACUGGGCAUAAAGGGUGCGUAGGCGGCUUGUUAAGUCAGGGGUGAAAUCCCACGGCCCAACCGUGGAACUGCCUUUGAUACUGGCGAGCUUGAGUGCGGGAGAGGAGAGUGGAAUUCCUGGUGUAGCGGUGAAAUGCGCAGAUAUCAGGAGGAACACCAAUGGCGAAGGCAGAUCUCUGGGCCGUAAAC
rnacentral:rRNA from 1 species